rnacentral:rRNA from 1 species
GUCAGAUGUGAAAAGCCCGGGGCUCAACCUCGGAAUAGCAUUUGAAACUGGCAGACUAGAGUACUGUAGAGGGGGUAGAAUUUCAGGGUGUAAGCGGUGAAAAUGCGUAGAGAUCUGAAGGAAUACCGGUGGCGAAGGCGGCCCCCUGGACAGAUACUGACACUCAGAUGCGAAAAGCGUGGGGAGCAAACAGGAUUAGAUACCCUGGUAG